GACGAACGCUGGCGGCGUGCUUAACACAUGCAAGUCGAGCGGUAAGGCCUCUUCGGGGGUACACGAGCGGCGAACGGGUGAGUAACACGUGAGUAAUCUGCCCUUCACUCUGGGAUAAGCACUCGAAAGGGUGUCUAAUACCGGAUACGACGCACUCUCGCAUGGGAUGUGUGUGGAAACUUUUGUGGGUGGGGGAUGUGCUCGCGGCCUAUCAGCUUGUUGGUGGGGUAAUGGCCUACCAAGGCUUUGACGGGUAGCCGGCCUGAGAGGGUGACCGGCCACACUGGGACUGAGACACGGCCCAGACUCCUACGGGGGGCAGCAGUGGGGAAUAUUGGACAAUGGGCGGAAGCCUGAUCCAGCAACGCCGCGUGAGGGAUGACGGCCUUCGGGUUGUAAACCUCUUUCAGUAUCGACGAAGCGCCCGUGUGGGUGGUGACGGUAGGUACAGAAGAAGCACCGGCCAACUACGUGCCAGCCGCCGCGGUAAUAC
rnacentral:rRNA from 1 species